rnacentral:misc_RNA from 1 species
UAGUUCUUCGCCUUUUUAAACCCAAAUGUCUCUUGAAUUCCCGAUGACGAUGAAGAUGGUGACCUUUGCUUAAGCUCUCAGAAAAUUCUUCGCUAAUCGACCGUUCAUGGUAAUGCAUCAUCAAACAUGAAGCCAUGGAAGAAGAACGGGAUUCAUUGUUCGAUGUUGUCCGUUCCGUUCUCGCUCCUCAGGAACAUAAUGUAUCAUUUAUACAUCCAAAAUCCACAUUCACACAUUUCCGACUCGCACAAUGGUGGUGGGGUGACGCUAUAUGGAUGGUGAUGGAUUAAGUCUUGUGCAUGGUUGACGGUACACGACGACGUCUCUCUAUGCAUUUGUUGCUGAACAUCGUUCACGACGUAGCUCGCAGUUUUUCCAACGCAGGCACCAAUGGCUCCUCGAUGGAAGGACCGCAACUUAAUCCACAUUCACCAAUCCAUCUUGCUUUACCACUGGCGUGCGACUGUAAACAUAGUAAGGUCGCGUUUCCACGAGGUGCGACAACGUCCGUCACAAAGUGGGCACGGCCGCUGAAGGGAAUAGCCACCGCAUUCGCUGCAGUCCAGAGAGACAUGUUCUUCGCUCCACGAAACCCCACAUCUAUAAAUAAAAAACGUCUUUAAUGAAAGAGUUUAUGAUGUUUUAGACUUACGAGAGAAGGAUCAAUUUCUUUCGUAUCUAUAACGUGGAAAAAUAUAAUAUCAUAAGAUAGAAAUAAUCUGCCUGUCCUCUUUCUGUUAAUCAAAAUACUAAAAAUUAUUAUUUUGUUAUCAAAUGUAUGUUACGUUAAUCGAAAAAAGUAACUCGACUGGAUAAUAUAGUCUCUUGAUAUCUUAUUUCUAUAAUUAUAAAAUCAUAAGGUGGAAGUAAUUGUAAAUCCAAUAGGUUACGAAAAUGUCUUAAGUUCAAUCUCAGUGCACUGCAUCGCGCGAGCUCUUGAGUACGUACGUGUAGCAAUAUGUAAAAUUUUACAAGGUCGCAGUAACAUUUUCAACCAAAUCAACCAUUUUGAAUCAUUCACACCAAAGUACCAGUGACGUAAUAAUCAGAUUCUAUUGGAACAAUGGAUUUCAAGAAUUACGGAGUUUAAAUCGGAUUUCUCCAUGGCAUUUGAUGCGUCUAAUACGCGACCAACGUCUAAAACAUAUUUAAUCAUCGCGACUCCGGAUCAUGUCGGAUUCUAUUACCGACCUAUUAUUAUCGACUCGACGUCAAGACAAGAGUUCAACUUUGCUUAGCCAAUUACAAACCGUUCUCAGGAUCCUUGCUGUUCGCGCUAAUACAUACAAGCAUAUGUUAAUGUACAUAUAAAGCGCGGUCUUAAUCACUCUCAAUACUUGAUCGUCAAGCGAAAUGACAGAAAUAGCGCAUACAGAAUGAUUUUAAGACGAUUACAGAAGUCAAUAGCCUAACGAGAGUGUGUAAUUCCUAGCUUAUAUUAAAAAUUAUACGAAGAAGGACCCAGUCAA